rnacentral:rRNA from 1 species
UACAGAGGGUGCGAGCGUUGUUCGGAAUUAUUGGGCGUAAAGGGCGCGUAGGCGGUGCGGUAAGUCACCUGUGAAAUCUCCUGGCUCAACCGGGAGGGUGCGCCGAAAACUGGGAGACUAGAGUGCGGGAUGGGAGAGUAGAAUUCCUGGUGUAGCGGUGAAAUGCGUAGAUAUCAGGAGGAAUACCGGUGGUGUAGACGGCUCUCUGGACCGCCACUGACGCUGAGACACGAAAGCGUGGGUAGCAAACAGG